CUUCUUUUUCAUUUUAAUUAACACUUUUACAAAGUACAAAAUAUACUGUCAUUUGUUUUGGAACAUUAGGAUUUUUUUUUUCUUCUUUUUUUUUUCUGUGUGUGUUCUGUGUUUGAUUUCCUUUUUCUUCCACCCCCCCCAUACAGUACAUAAACCUCAGCUUGGCAGCAGCAGACCGGCGAAGGAAAGCAGCGCAUUGGGAAUGCAAAGCGGCCGCUCUCAGCUGCACAGCCCGAUGCUGGUCUGGGUGAGCCCCACAACGGUUUGCAGUAGGCUGGGAGUUCAAAGGGAAAAAUACACUGCAUCAUUUGCAUCCCCCAAGGAGAGGCUCCUGGGGAAGGGUUUGUGAGGGUCCAGAGGGCUGUGCACCCCCACAUGGCCACUGCAGCAGUGGGGCAGCCCCUGCUGUCCUGACAGCUCGCUGGAAGUUUAUGGGGGGGGCAACACUGUGAGCAAUCCUUGGGGAAAUGCAGGCUUCCUAAGGGCAGAGAAGGGUGGAGAGAUCUGCUGCCUUCCAGGUGCUGCCAACCAGGGCACUGCAGUGCCAGAACCACACUACAGCCUCAAGUGAGGGGGAUGGUGGGGCUGCUCCAUACAAAGUCCUCCCCCACUGACCCUUGUGGUGCCCAGUGAGCAGCAGGCAGGCAGCAGGACCAUCACACCCCUCAUUUUAGUGACAAACCCGGGGCCAACAGGCCAGCUGUAUUAGUGGGGAAGGGGGAGAUGGGCUCUCCUGAAGCACUCCAGCUUCAUGAGAAGGAAGUCCCAAUGUACGUCACCCCAGAGCACCUCAUGCUCCCCAG
rnacentral:lncRNA from 7 species